rnacentral:tRNA from 1 species
GGGCGUGUCGUCUAGCAUGGAUAUAAUGCGAAAAACCUUCGCAUCGACAUAAAGGGCACCAGGUUGCGGACCUGGCCUUCGCAGGUUCAACUCCUGCCACGCCCG